UAUACAACUGUUUAUGUGUGCUAUAUGAGGUCUCUGAUAUUGCUUUACCUUGCAUCUAGAAUUGUAACUGUGACUUGGUUUACUGUGAAUGAUUCAUCUUGUUUGCCUGAAGAUGAAUCAGUUUCGAAAGGAUUCCUUCCCAGGCAAUACCCGGGGGUUUUAGGCUGGGGCAUUGUUGCAGUUUCGCUGCUCAACAUCAAUACAACAGAUGACAUUGUUGGUCUAUCUUCUGCUUGUUCUUGGACGCAUAAAAGGCCUACCUGUAUGCAUCUCAGAACUUCACUCGAGGAAAAUGAAUUGCCAACCGAUAUAUCUAACAAGUCCAACCCUUUUCCUUCUUUCCAUAGUCUCCAUGCAUGUCCAAGAAGGUUGAGUUCACCGUUUGAAUGAUAAAAUCCCCUGUUCUUAUUGCCACUUACAAUCUCCAACACUAGUACACCAAGACUAAAAACAUCUGAUUUCAUUGAGAAGAGCCCAUCCAUUGCAUACUCAGGAGACAUAUAACCAUAUGUUCCCACUACUCUCCUGGUACUUGCUUCUGUUUGAUCUCC
rnacentral:misc_RNA from 1 species